AAGACAUACAGGUCGAGCAAGGAUGAAAAUCGGACUUAGUGAUCCGGUGGUUCUGCGUGGAAGGGCCAUCGCUCAACGGAUAAAAGCUACCCUGGGGAUAACAGGCUUAUCUCCCCCAAGAGUCCACAUCGACGGGGAGGUUUGGCACCUCGAUGUCGGCUCAUCACAUCCUGGGGCUGUAGUAGGUCCCAAGGGUUGGGCUGUUCGCCCAUUAAAGUGGUACGCGAGCUGGGUUCAGAACGUCGUGAGACAGUUCGGUCCCUAUCCGUCGCAGGCGUAGGAAAUUUGAGAAGACCUGUCCUUAGUACGAGAGGACCGGGAUGGACGUACCUCUGGUGUACCAGUUGUUCUGCCAAGGGCAUGGCUGGGUAGCUAUGUACGGAAUGGAUAAGCGCUGAAAGCAUCUAAGCGCGAAGCCAACUUCAAGAUAAGAUUUCCCACCGCAAGGGUAAGACCCCAGAAAGACUAUCUGGUUGAUAGGUCGAAGGUGUAAGUGCAGCAAUGUAUUUAGCUUAUCGAUACUAAUAGGUCGAGGACUUGACCAAAUU
rnacentral:rRNA from 1 species